UGGUUCUGGCAUCGAUGAAGAACGCAGCGAAAUGCGAUAAGUAGUGUGAAUUGCAGACUUUAGUGAGCCGGCCCGAGCGCAGCACAGCGAGCGCCCGGGCGCGCGCGCCUGUCCCCACGCAGACGUCUGUCGAUCGACCUCGAAUCAGGUAGGGAUACCCGCUGA
rnacentral:misc_RNA from 1 species